GCUUUUCUCCUUUUCUUUCUGUUGGUUUAAGAUUUCUUUUCUAACAAGUCAGUUUCUGCUAAUUUUGCAUUUAGAACAAGCAAAACAACUAAAACACUCUGAUUUUUUAAGACUUAACUCUUACAGAAUAUUCAACUGCUUGCCGUCGUUCGCAGAACUAACAAUGAAAAUAAAUUGCCUGUUCCAAUGCAAAAAUAAUUUUUGAAUACUAUUUCAUAAAAAAAAAAAAGUUGCUAGUACUUUUUAUUUUCUAACAAGUCACCUUUUUUUCUAAAUGCUAAAUAAGGUUAAAUAAUUACUAAAUCACUCUUGUGCUAUAAAUAAAAUUAAAAGUAGACGACUUAAAUAAGAUUGCAAUACAUCACCACCAGCCCAUUCCAGCAAAGCUAUAAAAUACCCAAAUACUUGGGAAUCUUAAAGUUACAAAAUACCAGACGGGCAAUAAGCAUAUGUAUAGCCUAUAAAAGAACAAGAAAGUAGGCCUUGUUUAAAAUAUAGACCAUGAUUCUAUAAACUUUUUGUUCCAAAUUUUACAACUUGCACCAAAUGGUUUUUGUGCUUGAUUCUUGGCUUUACCAACUCUCCCUAUCAUUUGUUUCAAUUAAGCAUGAAUUUUUGUCACCCUUCAUCAUCUUUAUCAUAGAUACGUUGGCCAUGUUCAGCUACUUUUUGUACAUGCUUGAUGCUCCAUGUGGUUUGGAAUUAGGUUUGCUAAGCAUUGAAUUCAAUUUUUCUGCUUUAGUAGUUUAGGUUGGCGUAUAGAUGAACCUGAUUACCUUUAUGCUUUUGUUUGUUUUGAGGGAAGUGAAUGGAAAAGAGAAGAAAAGAAUUUCCUUUCAUUUCCAUUGCACAAUUAAGGAAUCAAACAAAGGCCUAGUAAAGUGUCUUUAAAAGAAAUUUAAUUGAAUACUUUCUGUGAAAUCACAUUCUUAUGGAUGUGUCAUCAGGCGCAGAAUAAGUUCAUCCCAAUGUAUGUGUUGACUGUUUUUUCAUCUUUACCUACAUUGAACCUACAAUGAAAUUGUAUGAUGACCUAGUCUUCAGCAUCACUUUUUAUGCAACUGAAAUAAUAAUAAUAGUGGAGAUAUCGAGUGUAAUUGCAUUACUCCUAAGGAAAAUGUAUUCAUUAGACUGAUUGAGAAACCUAUUUAAAUGUGUUAACCUGUUCCACAUUGGUAUGAAUAUUCAAUAACAAUCAAAUAGGUUCAAAUGCUAAUGCUUGUGAAGAUCAAUUUUAGGUUUCUGAAACAUUUAUGAGUUGAACUUUUGACACAAACAUAUAUAUUUUACACAUGUUUCUGCGCUUUUAACUGUUGCGACUUGAUCACUUGCUCAGGGUCUUAAAAAGGCAGAUCAG
rnacentral:misc_RNA from 1 species